rnacentral:rRNA from 1 species
AUUUGAGAUGGCCUCUCGCCCUAUUCAGUGUAACAGCUGUGGUAGUGGGUUUGGUCGCUCGCAUUUAAAUUGGAAGGGUAAUGGUGGACCGCACUUCUCCCUUAGUAGGACGUUGCGACCUGUCAAAUAAUAUCCUAAGUAUUUGGCUAAUUUGUCUGUUUUUAGGCAGUACUGAAAGGUAUUUCCUUUAACAGUUUUAGCCGUUUACAUACUGGAUAUAAUUGACAGUAACGAAUCAUGGUGUUGAGCCACUUACUUUGUAAGUGUCCUUUAUGGCUGUUUGCAAGUGGGUUGGUUAAUUAGUUUUAGUCGGAUUUUGGUCCGUCUAACUAUUCCGCCUACUGUUGGUAAACUGUUCCUUGGACAGUGCUUAUAACACCGGUCGGCAGCGAUUCAGGUUCAGGCUCUUAUCCGACCCGUCUGAAACAC